GCUAGUAAUGGCAGGUCAGCAUACUGCCGUGAAUACGUUCCCGGGCCUUGUACACACCGCCCGUCACACCAUGAGAGUUGGGGAUACCCGAAGCCUGUGAGCCAACUAAAAAUAGAGGCAGCAGUCGAAGGUAGAAUCAAUGAUUGGGGUGAAGUCGUAACAAGGUAUC
rnacentral:rRNA from 1 species